CUAGCACUUUCACAGAUCCUCCCCAAGGCAGUGGGGCCAGGAUUUGGUAGCUGGUGCUGAGAGAAGACCUUUGAUGGCAUCUUUGCCCUGCGACUAUACCAGCGGCAACUGUCACUCAAUGGGACAGAG
ensembl:snoRNA SNORA30 small nucleolar RNA, H/ACA box 30